rnacentral:lncRNA from 1 species
UGACCGAGAUUUCAAGUUACCCACAUUAAUCCCAUUGGUCAGAAACCGAUGAAGGUUCCUUCCAUGCAUUCCCCUAAUUAGCUCAGUGGAAUUUCUUUCUGCUAUAAAUCUCAAACCUCUACCAUCCACCCUGCAAGCGAAGAGAAGCUCCUCCUUGCAAACUUACCAGAGAGCAAAAAGCCUUCUAAAAAGAAGAGGGAAACUAGGAAAGAUGGGAGAAGGUAAGAAGUCCUUGUUUUCUUUCUUUGGCAACAACAAGGCCCACAACAGGGGUCAUGAAGCAGAGACGGAAACAAGGCAGCCGAGGAAGGACUACAAGCAAGAGAGGAAACCAAGCCACCAGAGAUAUGGCCAUGAAGCAGAAAUGAAGCCAGGAAAUCCCAGAAAGAUUCGACCUAGCGAUGAUGACCGGAGGCAUUGGGUUGCUGAGCCCGAUAUCGACAGGAAAGCUAAAGAGUUCAUCGAUAGAGUGCACCGCCGGAUGGUCCCCGAGCAGAACUUUUAGUGGUUUAGUUGCCUUCCAUGUCAAAAUCUUCAAGUCCUUCGUACACUAUGAUCCGUUCUUCAUCUUUUUUAUAAUUAAGCAGCUUUUUCGGUCCCUCCUCCUAAGUAGAUGGCAUAUAUAUGGCUUGUUAAUAGAUGAUAUGACGGGAAACGAAGGUAGUAAUGUGCCUUGGUGAUCAGUCUAUGUUUUGUUUCUUAAAUUCUAUGUUAUGUACUGAGCUUGGAUAAGUCUAAUGUUUGCCUUUUUUUCCUUUUUCGGUGUAAGUCUUAUGUUGAUCAAUCAACUUUUAAGAAAGCAGCUUUACGCAUACAGCAGUUAUGUUGGUAAACUUGUUGGUACCAAGAACAACUAUUCAAAGAGAAAAUUGUCUUAAAUUAUUCAUUGAGUAAAUCCAACAAAAUCACAUUCAACCAAAAGUUAUUUAAGAAAAUUAUAGCUGAAUGAAAGUAAGAAUUACUUGUGGCAUAGCUAUUCCAAUAUGCAUAAUAAAAUUAUUGAUCUUUAAGUAAUCCAUGUCUCACUCCUGUUAGCACUACUCAAUUUUGUUGUCUAUUGCUUAAUAUUAAAAGCAAGAACUCGUUUACCAGAACACCAUACUUCAUCUAAAACCAUCUUGAAAAAAAUGAGUUUGCAAACCAAUCUUAGUAGUAUGUUACGGCCAACACUGAAGACGUUAACGAAAUCCUGGAAGCAGUUUUUUUUUUUCGCAGCACACUGUACUACUCUUCUUCUACAUUUGAGUUUACAAUGGCCAUAGAUACACAAUACAAAUGUAAACAAGAAAUUUGAUCCUAUAAUUCAAGAGGGUAAGGAAAAACAAUUUUUAAAAUGAAGAUUUUAUGAUAAUUUGAAUUUUUGAACUGAAAGCUCCUGCAAAGCAAUAUUAGAUUGAUAACAGAUGUGUCGACCACUUAUCACAUGUAUAGCAACAAUAUUCCAAAUUAAUAUAAGCAAACAUUAAAUAACUAUUUUACAUAGCCUUCAAAUAAUAAGAAAUUUGAUAACAUAUAUUUGUUGAAGAUAAACUAGUAUUUAGGUGGACUAAGCCAUUAAUUUUCUUUUCAAUCUUGCUGCCUUUGGGAUAACUAAAUCCUAUUUCUUGACCAUUGACCCCCCACUCCAAAACCCCCAGAAAAAAAAAAAAUACUUCAUGCUUUGUCUUUUAUUACCGUUGCUAAUUCAGCUAUUAUAUCUUUGUCUAGAUGGUAAUGGGUUCAUCUGAUCAUCCCCCAAUUUACCAAAAAAAAAAAAAAGACUAAGAUAAGAUUAUGGAUACACCCCUGUAAGUUUGGAUCAAUUAUAUUUAGAUCCCAAAAGUUUUAAAAGUAUUAACCACGAAAACUUUAAAUUCGUUGAAUGAUUAAAAAAUGAAGUGCUUUGAGAUCUAUACAAGUGGAUGGAUGGCAGAGAAUGAAGUGCUUUGAGAUCUGUGUGGAUGGAUAGAUUAUAGAGGAUGAAACAUUUUGAGAUUUAUGCAGAUAGAUGAAUAUUAGAGGAUGGAGUGCUUUAUGAAUAGUCAUGGUUAUGAUAAUGUGGAACGGAAAUAUGAAAACAUAGAAAAUUGUACAAAAGGUUACUGCAAUGGUCCCCAUAACACUAUCGUUUAAAUUGAUCAUGGAAGGCUUAAAAUUUUGGUCAUACCUAUCACAGGGAAAUAAAGCACCAACAAACCCGAGUAAUACAGAGUGGAGAUUGUUCUUAUAUAAUUCCUAUAGAAUCCUAUAAGAAUUCUUGGCGACUGGAUGAUCACUUCCAUUCUUGCAGAGCGGAGAUUGAUGUCCUUAUUGCGACAACAAUUUGGAUACUAUGGAAGGAAAGGAAUAAACGAUGUUUUGACUUUCAUGCCUUUCUACCAAUUUUUGUGGCGAGAAAUGUCGCUAAGAUGUUCUUAUCCUGGACUGAACACCUGCCUGCCAAUCAGAGUUCUUCGGUUAAUCAGGUUUAGAUUUGUAUGAAGGAACUACUUAACUAGCAGCAUUAUUCCAGCAUCAACUCAGUAGCUCCUUUGGAUUAAACUAACUAAGGUGUCAGCUAUUUAUGUAUGGUCUUCGUAUACCUCCUCUCACCAAAAUGUAUAGGAUACGUAGUUGAUAAUCUCUCACCAGGAUUAUACUAUGACAUAACUAAAUUACUGUAUUUAUUAUAUUAUAUUAAUGACAUACCCCUUGGGUUAGGUCUUCCCUGACUCAUUUUCAUCAAAAAAAAAACCGAGUAAUGCAGUGCUGGAGUUCCCCAGCCGAGCAUAAUCUGUCUGAAAAAGCCUCAGAAAAGGAACCGCCUCCCAUAUCCGAGAUCAUGUAUCGGUCCGAAUCUUUGGGAAGAAACCGACCAUAUUGGUCAAAAGUCUAAAGUAGAAGACCCAAGCUUGUGGCAUCUUCGUAUGAUCCUACCCUGAUAGCUAUGACCGAGAUUUUAAAUUAUUCGCAUUAAUCCCAUUGGUGUGAAAUCGAUGAAAGUUCCUUCCAUUCCCCUUAGCUCAGGUGGAUUUACCAUCUACUAUAAAUCUUAAACCUCUACCAUCCACCCUGCAAGCAAAGAGGAACUCCUCCUCCUCUAAUCCAAAGUUAUUAGAGAGAAUUAAAAAGCCUUCUAAAAAGAAGAGAGAAACUAGGAAAGAUGGGAGAAGGUAAGAAGUCCUUGUUUUCUUUCUUUGGCAACAACAACAACAAGACACACGACAGGGGCCAUGAUGCAGAGACGGAACCCAGGCAGCCGAGGAAGGGUCGCGAGCAAGAGAGGAAACCGAGGCACCGGAGGGUUGGCCAUGAUGCAGAAAUGGAACCAAGACAUCCCAGAAAGAUUCGACCCAGCGACGAUGACCGGAGGCAUUGGGUUGCUGAGCCCGAUAUCGAUAGGAAAGCUCAAGAGUUCAUCGAUAGAGAGCACCGCCGGAUGGUCCCCGAGCAGAACUUCUAGUGGUUUAGCUGCCUUCCACAUUAUGAUCUGUUCUUCAUCUUUUUUAUAAUUAAGUAGCUUGUUUGGUACCCUUAAAGGGUGACAUAUUUGGCUUGUUAACAUGCGAUAGGAUGGGAAACAAAGGUAGUGACGUGUCUUGGUGAUCGGUCCACGUUCUGUUUCUUAAAUUCCGUGUCAUGUUGUAAGCUUGGAUAAGUAUCAUGUUUGCCAAUCCUUUUUUUUGUUUGCUGUCGGUGGAUGUUUCGACCACUUGGCAUACGUCUGGGA